rfam:Myotis brandtii contig197383, whole genome shotgun sequence.
UGGCUCAAUGGAUAGAGCGUCGGCCUGCCAACUCAAUGGUCCCAGGUUCGAUUCCUGG